AAAUUGAAGAGUUUGAUCAUGGCUCAGAUUGAACGCUGGCGGCAGGCCUAACACAUGCAAGUCGAACGGUAACAGGAAGCAGCUUGCUGCUUCGCUGACAAGUGGCGGACGGGUGAGUAAUGUCUGGGAAACUGCCUGAUGGAGGGGGAUAACUACUGGAAACGGUGGCUAAUACCGCAUGACGUCGCAAGACCAAAGAGGGGGACCUUCGGGCCUCUUGCCAUCAGAUGUGCCCAGAUGGGAUUAGCUUGUUGGUGAGGUAACGGCUCACCAAGGCGACGAUCCCUAGCUGGUCUGAGAGGAUGACCAGCCACACUGGAACUGAGACACGGUCCAGACUCCUACGGGAGGCAGCAGUGGGGAAUAUUGCACAAUGGGCGCAAGCCUGAUGCAGCCAUGCCGCGUGUAUGAAGAAGGCCUUCGGGUUGUAAAGUACUUUCAGCGGGGAGGAAGGUGUUGUGGUUAAUAACCACAGCAAUUGACGUUACCCGCAGAAGAAGCACCGGCUAACUCCGUGCCAGCAGCCGCGGUAAUACGGAGGGUGCAAGCGUUAAUCGGAAUUACUGGGCGUAAAGCGCACGCAGGCGGUCUGUCAAGUCGGAUGUGAAAUCCCCGGGCUCAAC
rnacentral:rRNA from 1 species